UUUGUAUUUAUUUCUAGGAAGUAAAGCCGGAAAGCAGCGGGGAAGGCGAAGCAGGUGGGAGGCUGCCUCCUGAUGCUGUGCUGAGGCCCCCUCACUGACCUGCCAAGAGACCCGGUUUGCUUCUCUGGUGAGCCCCAGCAAAUAUUACCGGAGUCCGUGACGAAGCCUCGACCUCGUCCACGUGUCGGUGCGGUCCUGGUACCCUUUAGGCGUGGCCGAGGAGUCGCGGCAAGUCGGGGGCUUUGGAAGGAGCGGCGAGGGCGCGCUCAACUUUCAGCGACGCUACAUCGCCUGCUCUCCGUUUAUCCUAGGCGUACCCUGCGACGACGGCAUCCGCCUAGGAGCGUGGCCGAAGCGUGCGGCCGGAGGACCCGGGAGUUCCUAAGAGAUGGUGAUGAUACUUGUCUGAGACAACAGCCCGGUGAGAGAAGAACUUCCCAGACAGCAAGGUGGCUUUGUUUGGCUCCUGACCGGCCUCUCGCCGUGACUCACAUCUUCAGCCCUCUGAGAGAUAAGUGGAGCCCACAGAGGGGAUCAAAGCAGGGCGGCGGUCGGGACUGAGAUCGGUUUGGGUUUUUGAGUGAGCUUUGGGGAUGGGGAGGUUCUGGAAAUGACCCCAUAGGCCCCAGUGAGGGAAAGCCUCACUUUGGUUUGCAAUGCUGAGGCAGGCAGGGCAGAGCAGUCCCAGGGUGUGUUGUCACUUGUCUCUCGUGCCUUCUGUGUCUUAUGUGCAUCUCGUGUAAUGUGUCUAUUGCCUUAGUCCUCCCAGGGGCAUAUGAGAAACCCCGGGGUCCUUCCGUUCAUCUCCCAUCUUUGCGUUCCUCGGCCCAGCGCCGGCGAAGCUUCGAUUCGGGAGGUCAGACACGUGUCAGAAUCGCAUCCGUCUUCAGAAGCACGUGAUCUUUUUAGGUCUCGUUCUCAGCUGUGUCGACAGCUAUGUGCAGCAAUGUUUCUUUACAGUGGAUAAGGACUUGUGCCGAUUCAAAGGCAGGCAGAGGCUUCCAGCCACAGGAUUCUCGGGCAUCCGUCUUUGCGGUUCUUGGAAAAAGUUGUUCCGUUAGCAUCUUUUUCCUCCGGGGUCACCCGAGCUCGGCAGGCUCGCCUCGGGUCCCUCCUCGGUCAUCUCGUUCAGCAUUCUCUCGGUCCUCAUGAGGACUUUCUUGUCUCAAGAGUUUUCUCUCCUUGUCAUGUCCCCUUGUCUCACGUGUCAUGGGUGUCUGGUGGUAUUUGGUCCGGAGCUGCUCUGCCCUGGCGCCCAGCCCGGUUGUAGGUGUUUAAGGACAAGUCCCGGGCACUUGUAAUUGGAGAUUUGUAAUACGGGCUGUAGUUGGAGUCUAGCUGGUAUUCUUAUGUUGGCAGCAGGUGUCUGGAGCUGUGAAGUUACCCUGCAGCACUUUGACUUUUUUCCUAACUUUCUUUCAGAUUCAGACAGGAUUGACCUCCUGGCAGAACACCUGUCCCAGAUGAGGGGGUCCCCCUGAGAAGGUUGGUCACGGUUUUACUUUGCAGCGGGGCUGGAACCGGUCACUGUGUUACAGCUCUGCUCUUUGUAUUUAUUUCU
rnacentral:lncRNA from 1 species